UACAGAGGGUGCAAGCGUUAAUCGGAAUUACUGGGCGUAAAGGGUGCGUAGGUGGAUAUUUAAGUUGUAUGUGAAAGCCCUGGGCUUAACCUGGGAAUGGCAUAUGAAACUGGGUAUCUGGAGUGCGGUAGAGGGAAGUGGAAUUUCCGGUGUAGCGGUGAAAUGCGUAGAUAUCGGAAGGAACAUCAGUGGCGAAGGCGACUUCCUGGACCGUUACUGACACUGAGGCACGAAAGCGUGGGGAGCGAACAGG
rnacentral:rRNA from 1 species